UUAUUAUUAGGGUUAAAUGCAUUUAUAUUCCUGCAAACAUAGUAAAUUAUAAAUAUAUAUUUCUAUAAAGUUCAACGUUUAUAUAUUUUUUCUACAAAAGUUUUAAUAUUUUCAAAUAUGUUCAUCUAGUUUGUUACCAUUAUAAAACUAUUUAUAUUUUAAAUAAAAUGUCAAUUUUACCAUUACAAAUAUGUUCCUCCAAAAACCACAACAGUAUAAUAUAAGAGGAACAAAAAUAUCAAGUUAUCGUAUAAAUUAAUCAGAGUUAAGCAUUUAACCUAUCUGAAAAUAUUACGAUUUUUGUAAGGAUAAUAUAUAAAAGUUGAAUUUUGUAAGAAUAUACUUGUAAUUCACUUUAUUUCUAAAGAUCUGUAUAAAAUUAAUCAUUAUUAUUAUUAUUAUUAUUAUUAUUAUUAU
rnacentral:lncRNA from 1 species